rnacentral:rRNA from 1 species
GUGGGGAAUAUUGGGCAAUGGGGGAAACCCUGACCCAGCAACGCCGCGUGAGGGAAGAAGGUUUUCGGAUUGUAAACCUCUGUUCUUGGCGAAGAGAAGAAGACGGUAACCAAGGAGGAAGCCCCGGCUAACUACGUGCCAGCAGCCGCGGUAAUACGUAGGGGGCGAGCGUUGUCCGGAAUGAUUGGGCGUAAAGGGUGCGUAGGCGGCGAUGCAAGUCAGAAGUGGAAGUCCUGCUUUCAAGGUAGGAAUUGCUUUUGAAACUGCAUGGCUUGAGUGCAGGAGAGGUUAUCGGAAUUCCCGGUGUAGCGGUGAAAUGCGUAGAGAUCGGGAGGAACACCAGUGGCGAAGGCGGGUAACUGGACUGCAACUGACGCUGAGGCACGAAAGUGUGGGGAGCAAACAGGAUUAGAAACCCUAGUAGUCC